AGGAGUGUAGCUUGGUGGUAGAGCACUCGCCUCUCAUGCGUGAGGCUCUGGGUUGGAUCCCCAGCACUGCAA
rnacentral:tRNA from 1 species